rnacentral:tmRNA from 1 species
GGGGAUGAUUGGCUUCGAUGGGGGUCAGAGGUGGUUAAAAUCGGGUCGAGGACGCGAGAUCACUCGUUAAAUUCUCGCAUCAAAUAAGUGCAAACUUAUUUAAAUCUUUCGCGCAGCCUGCCUACGCAGUAGCUUAACGAAAGAACCCUACGAAUCUUCGGAUUUGUGGCAUCGGUCUCUCAACGCUCGUGAGAGAGCAAACCGGUGUUAUAACACCGAGCUUGGUAACCCAGAUGCUCGAUAGGGGUUAUGACAUUUAUCGAGCACCUCUUCCCGCAAAGUGUGGGAUACACCCGUAUAAAUUUUAGCUGCCGAAACUUCCAGACGGGGGUCCGAUUCCCCCCAUCUCCACCG